GCACAAACAGAGAGAGAAAAAUGAACGAAUCAGAAGAUGGCAGAGAGGAAGAGGAUGUCUAUGUGGCUGUUCUUUUAGGGAGAGUCAAGGCCUAUGCAGCUGGACCUGCCUUCAUAUCUGCUCCACCCUCAAUGACCAACAUGGGAGUCCUGCCCCGUCCCAGAACCUUUUUCCGCCAAAUUGAAGCUGCGGAGGAAAUGCCAGAAUCAGUGUAAUGGGUGGGGCUGGACAAGAUGAGAUAAACAGCUGGACUGGAGCCAGAUGGGAGGUCUG